rnacentral:rRNA from 1 species
AGUGAACGCUGGCGGUAGGCCUAACACAUGCAAGUCGAACGGCAGCACAGUAAGAGCUUGCUCUUACGGGUGGCGAGUGGCGGACGGGUGAGGAAUACAUCGGAAUCUACUUUUUCGUGGGGGAUAACGUAGGGAAACUUACGCUAAUACCGCAUACGACCUACGGGUGAAAGCAGGGGAUCUUCGGACCUUGCGCGAUUGAAUGAGCCGAUGUCGGAUUAGCUAGUUGGCGGGGUAAAGGCCCACCAAGGCGACGAUCCGCAGCUGGUCUGAGAGGAUGAUCAGCCACACUGGAACUGAGACACGGUCCAGACUCCUACGGGAGGCAGCAGUGGGGAAUAUUGGACAAUGGGCGCAAGCCUGAUCCAGCCAUACCGCGUGGGUGAAGAAGGCCUUCGGGUUGUAAAGCCCUUUUGUUGGGAAAGAAAAGCGGCAGGUUAAUACCCCGCUGUUCUGACGGUACCCAAAGAAUAAGCACCGGCUAACUUCGUG